AGGGCAGUAGCUCCAAUUGGUUAGAGCGACUGAUUCCAAAUCAGUAGGAUCGGGGUUCGAGUCCCUGCUGCCCUGCCA
rnacentral:tRNA from 2 species